GGCUCUCAGCGGGAGGGAGGCAGGCGGGCUUGACUGACACCGGAGAGGGCUGGCUUUUUGGAGGGCUCUUAGCAACGGCCCUGGUUUGACCCACGUCGGCCAUGAGAAAAUCAAAUCAGUGUGCCCGUCUUCCCAGGCCGCUGAACGUGAGAGGAGGCUUCCUCCCUGCCUGCUCAUUACCUGCUCUUCCCGAUCUCCCGGUUUCUGCCCUUGCAAAGUGCCACCGAGAAGGGGGAGGAAACCACCUUCACCCACCCCCCUUGCCGCCUGGGGGUCCAGACUUGAUUGUGAAACCCCAUUGGCUUCAUUGGCUCCUUGAUUUAAACCACGCCCGGCUUUCUGCCGGCUUUGCUGCUGCUGGGCCAGGCUCCCCAGCCACAUCCCAGCCCCGUCUGCAGGGAGCCGGAGGCUGCUGCUGCUAUUGUGUGGAUGCCGCGCGUGUCCUCUCUUCUUUCCAGAGAUGGCUAACAGGGGCCCUAGCUACGGCUUAAGCCGAGAGGUGCAGGAGAAGAUCGAGCAGAAGUACGAUGCGGACCUGGAGAACAAGCUGGUGGACUGGAUCAUCCUGCAGUGCGCCGAGGACAUCGAGCACCCGCCCCCCGGCAGGGCCCAUUUUCAGAAAUGGUUGAUGGACGGGACGGUCCUGUGCAAGCUGAUAAACAGUUUAUACCCACCAGGACAAGAGCCCAUACCCAAGAUCUCAGAGUCAAAGAUGGCUUUUAAGCAGAUGGAGCAAAUCUCCCAGUUUCUAAAAGCUGCAGAGACCUAUGGUGUCCGAACCACUGACAUUUUUCAGACGGUGGAUCUAUGGGAAGGUAAACAGCCCCCCUGCCUUUGGGAUUGUUCUUUUCUUCUUCUCUCCUUUGCCCCAUCUCCUGGUAAAAACCGCUCGCCGUGUUCUUCCGUGUGCCUGCUGAUGCGUGUGUAA
rnacentral:lncRNA from 13 species